ACCCACACCUAACAACCUGCUAAUCACUCUCCGCAGAUUCCUACGCCAUAUAAUCCCAACUAACCCACGACCUCCAUUUUUCUUGGACGAGCUGGACUACCCACCAAACCACAACUCGCCUCUGAGAUCAGAUUCUUCAUCUCCAAUCUGAAAUUCGCAACUGCCCCAGCCCUCUCUCUAGCUAGGGGCUCUCCUCCAUCAAGACUCCUGAAGAUCCAGAUUCUCCUGACUGCUGUAUCCUUCUUGCGUGCCCUUGACAAGUAGGGCAGAAGAUUCAACAUCUGAACCCCAAAAGGAGUCCAUGGUUUGUGUGUCUUAUCACCAAAUUCUUGAUGCUUAUUUCUGAGAGAUUGAAGAACUAGGGUUCAAUUUCGAUUCAUUGAUGUGUUCUCUGUUACACUAAUUCUCUAUGCACUUCAUAUGUUUGAUGAAAUGCUUGACCAUGUACAGUUUCUGUUCAUGGUGCCACCACUGCCUUCCCAUCCCUGCCAUAUGAGGUCCAUUUAUCUGAGUUAAGAUCACCGAGUUUUUAAGCAAGCUAUUUCUUUCCUUUUAGGAAGAAGUAAUGUGCUACUCUUUGGACUCUGGGAGAUCCUCUGCCUAGCAGCAUGUGCGUUGAAAAAAAGAUGGUGGUCAGGCAAGAGGCAUUUUGUCUAACUGAAAGCGCUUUGAUUCGACCAAUAUUGUUACUAAAUAUGGUAGGAUGAUUCACUACUGUUUUUGGUUAUGUUAGAUUUUUUAAAUAUGGUUUUAAGUAUAUAUGUCUAUAUUUCCUUUUGGAUGAAAAAUAUUUCAUUAUAUUCUCAUAUGUGAGUUUUGAUAUGAACCAAAUGUAGCUAUGGAUCACAUACGUAUCCUAGGUCUCCUAAUUAUGGGCAAUAAGUUUACUAUCCUGAUUACAGCAGGAUUUGCAUUGAGAUUGCAUUCAAAAGAAAAAACAAUAGAAGAUUAUCGUGUUGAACGCACAGGCACCCUGAAAUAAUUUUAGGCAGGCAAGGUAUCUGGGUAAUCUUUGGCCAUGCUACAAAAGCAAACAGGCAAGUCUGAUAUGUAUGGUCUAUCAUGAAAUGAGUGCCACUAUCUUAAUUGAGAGUUUAGUAAUACUUAUUGCAUCAAAGCUCAGUUAUAGCUUAUAGGCAUCCAAACUGUAGCUUUUCUCUUGCAGCUGCUAUUUUAAAAUCUCCUUUUACAUUUAGCUGCAGCUAAUUAUUUUUUUUCCUUUCCUGGCAAGCGGCUAGAGUUCAAGCUCCAGGAAAAGGUCACAUUUAGGCAAGUUCUACAGUCUUUCAGGUAAUUGAUCAUUUGAUUUCCUUGCACAAGAGACUGCACAGAUUUAUUGUGUGUAUGUGGUGCCACUACCACUGCACAGAAAACUGUUGCAUGGUAUUAUAUUUACCAGUGCUGUAACUUUUGUCCAUCUAUAUUUUAAGAGUUAUUUCCAUCAAGUACAAUGUAGUUUUCACCAUUUAACUGAUUUAUGAACUAUGGGAAUCAAAGGUCCAGAGAAUAUAAUAUUUGUUUGCUUGAGGCUUUCAUGUAUGCUUCUCCAACUGACAACAUGUGAUGUGGGAUAUGAUAUUGUGCCUUACUUCAAUGUACAAUACAAGUAAAUACUUUAUCCAUUCAAAUGCAGCUUGAAUAAUCAAUAGUUUUUUUCAGCACGUAUAUAUAUUUAUAUAUUUUCAUUGCAUUUUUGUAUAAUUGAACUGUCUGCAAAGCAAUUGUUUUUUGUUAAGUAUGAGUUAUCCUUUUUAAUAUGAAAGGUUGUGUGUAAUGGUCAAUGGUUUGCAAAUUGCAAUGCCGCAAAAUGAGAGCUGAGCCACAUAGUCCAUGUGCCAUGAUUUUCUUAUCCACUCUGUAAGCACGUGCUCCUUUAAAAAAUAUUAUAUGGUUCAGCUUGAUUAACAUUUAAUUUGUUAUUUCCCUGAAAGUUAAUUCAUUAUAAUAUGAUGUUCUUGCAGAGUUUCUGUUUCCAACCUGCUAAAUGCUGAACAUAAAGACGAAUAAUCUAAUUUUAUUAGGUAGAAGCAAUGAGACAACUGCAGUGGUUGAGAUUCGAACUCAUGUGGACAAGGAAAUGUUCACUCCAGCUAGCCUAUUCUGUUCUAAUCCAGUGUAUAUUUCUGUUUGAGCUUUUUUUAGCCUCACUGUAGUUUGUGCAAGAAAGUUUUAAAUGCCAUAUUCUAUCUUUGAAUCCAGGGAAAAAAAAUCUUAUUAUUAACCUUCAUUCAAUUGCAGAUGGCUGAUAGGAGUUGUACUACCACAGGAUAUCAGGAUCAAAGUAGGUAUUUAUUCUGAUCUGUAUGGUGGUGGAGGGUAAUUCUUCUAGGUCAACUGGUACCUUUCUCAUUUUCAGAAAACAACAGUAAUCACGAUGAUCAUUUUUAGUGGUAAGAGUAUCAUCAUUUUUACUCUUUUUUUUGCGAACCAGGCUCAAAAGAACAUAUUUCAGAUGAGUAGGAAGCUUUGUUUUCUGAUGGUCUGAAAGGUUAGCAGUUAGCCAUUCUCUGCUUUCCCUUUACUAGACAAAAAUAAUAUGAAACUCUUUACUAUAAGAUCUGUUCAAAAUCAAUUAUAAUAACCCAGUUUCUAAUCUGAGGAUGGAAACCAUUAAUAAAUUAUCUUCUCCAUAGGAUCAGCAGCAAUCUUAAUGAACAUCAAGACAAUUGACAAUAUGCCCAUGGUAAAGAGUGCCGACUGAUUGGCCUUCGUUUAGUGUACAUUUGUAGUAGCUUUCUAUAAUAAUAAUAAUGAACAACAUAUAUAGUGAAUAUAGUCGGCCAACCUUUCGGCCGAUCCAGUAAAAUAUAUGGUGAAUUUCAUAAUUACAACUGUGAAUACUAAGAACAAAUUUUCUAUGCAGGUUCAAAAAGAUCAAUGGUUGAAUUUCCACGGUUUAAGUGACUGCUCAAGAAGUUAUCAAGAAUUGGAAGAAUGAAUAAAGACUAGAUAGGAAUAGAUAUAUUUCAUAUUUCUGCUAGUAUUUUUUUUUGCUUAAGAUGUAUUUCCUCCAUUUAAAAGACAUGCUUACUAUGAAAUGAUGUAAAAACAGUACUUCCUACAAAUUUUGUUAUGGUAAUGCAAUAUAUUACGAUCAGUUCACUAU
rnacentral:sRNA from 1 species